CUAGUCAUAAACAAAUCGGCCAUA
rnacentral:siRNA from 1 species